rnacentral:rRNA from 1 species
UUUUAUGGCCAUACUGCCCUGAACACACCCAAUCUCAUUUGAUCUCAGAAGCUAGGCAGGGUCAUGCCUGGGUAGUACUUGGAUGGGAGGAGAGUUGGUGCCUUAUUCU